CGGCCCCUAAGGCAAGGCCGAAAGGCGUAGUCGAUGGGAACCACGUUAAUAUUCGUGGGCCAAGGGAUGAGUGACGGAUUUCGAAAGUUGUAUUCCCUUAUUGGAUUGGGAAUGCAGCCUGGAAGUUCCUGGAAAUAGCCUCCCUAUAAGACCGUACCCGAAACCGACACAGGUGGUCAGGUAGAGCAUACCAAGGCGCUUGAGAGAACUAUGUUGAAG
rnacentral:rRNA from 13 species